rnacentral:rRNA from 1 species
ACAUGCCUACAAGAUGGCGUUAAUGCACUAGAUCUGAUUAGAACUCUGCAGUUAAGCACGCUCAGGCUAGAGUAGUACUGGGAUGGGUUGACUACCCGAGAAGUCCUAGUAUUUUACAUGCA